GAUGAACGCUGGCGGCGUGCCUAAUACAUGCAAGUCGAGCGAACAGAUGAGGAGCUUGCUCCUCUGACGUUAGCGGCGGACGGGUGAGUAACACGUGGAUAACCUACCUAUAAGACUGGGAUAACUUCGGGAAACCGGAGCUAAUACCGGAUAAUAUAUUGAACCGCAUGGUUCAAUAGUGAAAGACGGUUUUGCUGUCACUUAUAGAUGGAUCCGCGCCGCAUUAGCUAGUUGGUAAGGUAACGGCUUACCAAGGCGACGAUGCGUAGCCGACCUGAGAGGGUGAUCGGCCACACGGGAACUGAGACACGGUCCAGACUCCUACGGGAGGCAGCAGUAGGGAAUCUUCCGCAAUGGGCGAAAGCCUGACGGAGCAACGCCGCGUGAGUGAUGAAGGUCUUCGGAUCGUAAAACUCUGUUAUUAGGGAAGAACAAAUGUGUAAGUAACUAUGCACGUCUUGACGGUACCUAAUCAGAAAGCCACGGCUAACUACGUG
rnacentral:rRNA from 1 species